GCAGAGAAAAGAAGGCAGAGAUGAGAAAGAAGAAUAUUUUUGGAUGGAGGCUGAAACAAAAAAAUAGUCCUGAAUCGUCAGACAACCUUGAAGACUUGAAUUCAAGCCUUGAAAACACUGCUGAUGGAAUGAAAGAUACAGCGGAGAGGAGAGAUCAAGCUGAGGUGGCAAGUAUAGCUGAAGGAAGCAAUUCUGCAUCUAAAACUGUUCUUAAGAAUCCACGCAAGAGUGGGAGGAAGAUGGAUUCUCUUCUUUGUAACUAGACAAAGGAGCAUCAUUCUUUUGUUUUAGAACUACAGAAGCAGAAUCAUGAAUGGGGAAAAAAAAGGAAUGCAACAUUUAACUGAAGAAAAUUACAUGUGCCAGGAAUUGCUAGUUACAUUUCUUGGUGGUCUGGAAAGAAUUAUGAGUCAAACUGCUUCUGGUUACAGCCACUCCCAGCCAUCUCAUUCACACUUCCAUUUGCAGUGGAAGUGUUUGAUUUUUUUGAACAAUAUUUCAUAGUAAGGCAUCAGAAACCAAUAGGUAAACAAAUGUAUUUUUUUUUUUUUAGCAUUGUUUAAUCAUUUUUGAUGUUUAAAACAAAAUAUAAACCCAGAGAAGGAAACAUCUGCAUUGUACCACAUUAACAUGACUUCCUACAAUGCUAAGUUUUGUUUUUGGUUUCUAUUUGUUAUUAUAACACUGUCAAACUGAAAGAUGUUACACAGUAUUGUGAUAAUGUUCAUUUCAAAUUAAAAUUAGUAUAUGAUGUGCUCAACCCAAAGACUUGAAAGAAAAGAAGGAAAACCUCAAUAGUUACUUUGCAUGUUAAUGUUAAUUUCAGACAUAGUAUAGAACUUAAAGGUCAGUUUAAAUGUGAUUUAUUUUUUAUUUUUUGCAAUUUCUACAAAUGCUUUUGUAGCCUUUAUCAUAUUUACAUGUCUUAACUCUGCAUGUUAGGCCUUUUGUCCUGUUAUUUUACAACUUAAACUUGUUUCACUUACAUUUCAAGAUGUUUCAGUAAGCAAAAUAUUAUCUUGUCAGGACUGGCUAUAAUGUAAGAGUGCAAUUCAAUCAGUAUUAUUCACAGUUUAAACCAGAUUACCGUUUUUGUUUUGCAACUGUUGUAAUUGGAAAAUCUAUAAACGGAACUUAAACAUGUAUGUAUGUGCGUGCAUACGUAUGUACACGUGCACACACACACUCUUGAACAGACCCUGAAAGCACUACUACUACUACACUGGGAUUGAAUCAAAACUUUGACCCACCUGUUAAUCACAAAUUACAAACUUCGUACUAAUGGUGGUGUUUUCACUUGUCAAAGGGUCCUUGGAUCUACCCCAGAGGGAACACGUCUUUAGCACUGGGUUUGCAAUUUGUGAUAAGCAGGUGGGUCAAAGUUUGGAUUUAGUCUGGCCCCUUCUUUAACACAUCGUAUAAAUUUAUAACCUGGUGUAUUGUGUACGAAGAGGGAAGUUUUCAGCUAAGUAGACAGUAAGGUGUUCUCUGAUUUCUGCAGCUCUACUAGCUGUUGUGAUGUUGUGGCGACAAACUGGUUGUGGUAGCCUCACUUCUGCCUGAAUUUCUUCCAGCCACUGUCCUGGUAUCUGCUCUUUACUUUUCUCGCACAAAUUACGGAGACCACAACAGGUGGCUAUGACAUAGCGAGUAAAAGUGAAGUGAAAAUUGCUCCUCUUACAUAGACACCGCCAUCUUGCCUUCAGCCUCCCAAAUGCUAUCUCUACCACUAUCCUAGCAGAGCUCAUGUAAACAUUAAAUGGCUCCUGUACAGGUGUCAUUUGGGGAGAACUGAUGUAUCCCUUCAUUAGCCACUCAAGUAAUGGGUAGGCUGGGUCUCCGAGGAUGAACAUUGGAAUUUCAUGUUCACCUUUCAUUCUGGGGUGCUGUUUGAAUAAGAAAAAAAACAUUGCAAACUAUUUUAGUUUUUUAUAAUUAUUAGUAAAACUGUAAAUAUGUUAAUACUGCAAAAGUCAUUUUUAUACAACUAGUCAAAUUAUAAAAAAUAAUGAAUACAGUAAACACAGAACCAAUUUCAUUAAAUUUUCAAACAUUAUUUGUUUAUAAUUGUGUUCUAUUAAGAUGAUUGAACAAAUAAAUGUUUACUAAAAUACACUGUGUGUUUUAUGUAUAACUAUCUUGAAUCAACAACUUCUAACCUAAUUAGUGUCUUACCGAGGGUAAUCGAGGUCUGCAUCAUGUGCACAACCUGGCAUGGAGCAAUUUAUGUUCCGGAAACUGCAGGAAAAAAGCAAAAUCAAAUGACUCCACACACCUGUGUUUCUUUUUGUUUGUCUCAUG